rnacentral:tRNA from 1 species
GAUGGCUCAGUGGUAGAGUGCUUGCCUUGCAUGCAUGAGGCCCUGGGUUCAAUCCCUCGGCACAUUA